ACUAGAGCCCCAAAGGUCAAAUGGGGAGGAAAAAAGGGAGGGAGGGAUGCAGGAUUGACUCCGACCUGCCCCAGCAAGUUGUUCUCACUUGGCACAGACGUUUAUUGUCUGCGGAGGGCCAGGCUCUGAACUGUGCCACUGAGAGGUCAGGGUCUGCCUAGAUCUGAAAGAUGAGGAAGAGAAUUGGGAUACAUGUUCCCUCAACUCAGACUACAACUGAAACCUAUAUAUUACUGUGCAUGUGUUUUUCUUUGGCUGUUGCCUUCCACAGGCACAAAAUCAAAGGGACCCUUAGGAGGACAGUGUGAUUUUCUAGAAAUAAUGGCUUUCAGUGGCUCAGCUUGCACCAGGCAGAAGAGAUGAAGUUUGUCUUGGAAAGUCUUUCAGUGAGUGAUAUUACCGGUGCUGGAGACCGCCUGCGCCCUUGCCCCCCUGCAUGGCACUGCCCACUAUACCUCUGCCUUCCACUCUGCCUCCACAGGGUCAUGCGGCUGACAUCAGUCAUGGUCGGGGUAAUGGUGAGGAGUCGCAGAGCAGGUACAUGUCCAUUGGGAACUGUCUUCGAGAACAAAUAAGCAAGGCUUGGUAGCAGCUGGUAUUGAGAAUCUGAUUUGCUGAGAAGAUGGAGGAACUAGUCACCAGGGAGUGUCCAGCUUUUCUGGCUUUUGUGGCCUGUUCCAUAGGUCUUUAGAGCCCAUGGGAACCUGUGUGUCUACUGGCUGCUCCCUAAAAACAAGCCUCCAUUACUUGAGUGGGAAUGGAAUCUUUGGCCAUUAAAGGAGGCAGGAAAUGCA